UACGUAGGGUGCGAGCGUUAAUCGGAAUUACUGGGCGUAAAGCGUGCGCAGGCGGUUGUGUAAGACAGAUGUGAAAUCCCCGGGCUCAACCUGGGAACUGCAUUUGUGACUGCACAGCUGGAGUGCGGCAGAGGGGGAUGGAAUUCCGCGUGUAGCAGUGAAAUGCGUAGAUAUGCGGUGGAACACCGAUGGCGAAGGCAAUCCCCUGGGCCUGCACUGACGCUCAUGCACGAAAGCGUGGGGAGCAAACAGG
rnacentral:rRNA from 1 species